AUUGAACGCUAGCGGGAUGCUUAACACAUGCAAGUCGAACGGAGUGGCGGACGGGUGAGUAAUGUAUCGGAACGUGCCCAAUAGCGGGGGAUAACUACUCGAAAGGGUGGCUAAUACCGCAUACUAUUGGAGCGGCCCAUAUGGGAUUAGCUAGUUGGUGGGGUAAAGGCUCACCAAGGCGACGAUCCGUACCUGGUCUGAGAGGAUGAUCAGUCACACUGGAACUGAGACACGGUCCAGACUCCUACGGGAGGCAGCAGUGGGGAAUAUUGGACAAUGGGCGAAAGCCUGAUCCAGCCAUGCCGCGUGUGUGAAGAAGGUCUUCGGAUUGUAAAGCACUUUAAGUUGGGAGGCGUUACCAACAGAAUAAGCACCGGCUAACUUCGUGCCAGCAGCCGCGGUAAUAC
rnacentral:rRNA from 1 species